AUACGAAGGGGGCUAGUGUUGUGCGGAAUUACUGGGCGUAAAGCGCGCGUAGGCGGAUUGGUCAGUUAGGGGUGAAAUCCCAGGGCUUAACCCUGGAACUGCCUCUAAUACUGCCAGUCUUGAGUUCGGGAGAGGUGAGUGGAAUUCCUAGUGUAGAGGUGAAAUUCGUAGAUAUUAGGAAGAACACCAGUGGCGAAGGCGGCUCACUGGCCCGAUACUGACGCUGAGGCGCGAAAGCGUGGGGAACAAACAGGAUUAGAUACCCUAGUAGUCC
rnacentral:rRNA from 1 species